GAAAUGCGAUAAGUAGUGUGAAUUGCAGAAUUCAGUGAAUCAUCGAAUCUUUGAACGCACAUUGCGCCCCUUGGUAUUCCAUGGGGCAUGCCUGUUCGAGCGUCAUUUGUACCCUCAAGCUCUGCAUGGUGUUGGGUGUUUGUCCCCGUCUCCGCGCAUGGACUCGCCCCAAAGUGAUUGGCAGCCGGCGUACUGGUCCCGGAGCGCAGCACAUGUCGCGCAAACGAGUGCCUUGGUACGGCGGCGUCCAUAAGCCCCUCUCUCACGCUCUUGACCUCGGAUCAGGUAGGGAUACCCGCUGAACUUAAGC
rnacentral:misc_RNA from 1 species